CAGAAACUGCUGCUUUCUCCUGCUGCAAGAAGCUAAGAGCUCUGUCUCUCUGAGUUACCCUCUGCUUCAAACAGUGCAUGGGAUUAAUAUUAAGAAUAGAAUGGAUGCAGAUAUCUGCCCCUCCAACUGAAACAUUGUAUGUGAUUGUAUUGCAGCAUCCCAUCAGACUAUUGAGAGCAGAGCAUGUGAGUGAGCGAGGAGGGGGUGUGUAUGUUUUUCUCUGUCUAUUUGCUCCUGUGACGUCUGUCGACUCACUUCGACAGCAGAACGUUCCAUUGAGCUGAACGCGUGCUGCAAGCACAUGGAAUCUGAACUGCAGCUUUCCCCAUUGGAAAUGGAUGAUCCCAGCGUACCCCAAAUUUAUUUCCUAGUGGAUUACUUGGACACACUGCUAGUGACAUCAGUGGGACCGUCUGAAAGGAGAACGCCCGUUUUGGCUUUUGUGGAUUUUUCGGUGGAUUUACAGUAAACAUUGGUGGAUGGCAAACUGGAUUCUUCAUGGUUUGGUUUUGGAUCGAUUAUAUAUUUACUGGAUAUAUUUCCGAUGUGAGAAACUUACCCAGGAUAUUAAAACAGAAAUAUGGAAUUUAAAACACCCUGGUUGGACAACACGGAACCUUGUUAACGCGUCCGAAAAAAAUAUUUUACCUCCUCUCCUGGUCAUUGAGUCAUGAUAUUGAUGGUUUAGUGGAUUCUUAAUACAGUGUUUACUUUACGACUUAGAAUAUGUAGACAGUCCUGCACUUUAAAAGGUACUGUGUUACUACAUUUCAGUUAAAGAAAUCCUCUUUAUAACUGCUGAUGAUGGAAUUGAAGGAGACUGCAUUAUCUAAAUUGAUUUAAAACGAUAUGUAUUCAUGACAACUGCGUGUUCUAUUCCUGCCCUGUGGAGGGCGCCGUUUAGACCACAGAUGUGACAAUUGACUUUCAGGAAUACAUGUAAGGCCUUGCACAUACUAUACAUUACAAUAUAUAACAUAGUUACUAUCUACAGUAUCUGUAGUUGUAUUACUGCCUUCUUAUGAAAGGAUAUUUGCAUACAAUCUAACAGUUAAGUUGGCUUCAAACAGAUGUUAUUGAAUACAGUUUUGAUGAAUGAGAGUUUUGAAGCACAAGUCUUUCAUCAGCUGUGACGACCAUGUUAAGACAAGAUCAUAUUAUAGUCCCGGAAGUUGAUAUGAUAAAAACAUGUAACUUGACAAUAAUAAAAUCCAUGAUAUUACUGAUAUUAACUCUUUAUGUACAAGGAGAUGUUCUAAUGUUUGACUUCAUAACAUAGAGGGCCAGCUUUCCAGUUGCCCACAUCUGCCAUUUCUUAUCUAUUGACGUGUUUUCAAUCUUAGUCUUCCC